UACGUAGGGGGCAAGCGUUGUCCGGAUUACUGGGCGUAAAGAGCGUGUAGGCGGCCAAACAGGUCCGUUGUGAAAACUGGAGGCUCAACCUCCAGACGUCGACGGAAACCGUGUGGCUAGAGUCCGGAAGAGGAGAGUGGAAUUCCGUGGUCGUAGCGGUGGAAAUGCGCAGAUAUCGAGGAGGAACACCGGUGGCGAAGGCGGCAUCCUGGACCGAAUUCUGAC
rnacentral:rRNA from 1 species